AGAUAAUGGAACCCAAGGACACUGAAUACUCUGAUUUGUUCUCCAAAAGCACCAGUCUUAAUAGCAAUAAAAAUGGCUGAGGAUAUCUGCUCCAUCAAGGGCACUUUGAGGACAGUUUAGGAACCCUACCUCGCCGUGAUUCCAUAGGAGACGACACAGAGGAAAACAAGUUGACUGUGCUGCCCCAGGAUAGAAGAAUCAAGAAGCUCGCUCUGGACGUCGGUACCACGUGAACCGGAGGCAGCACUACCGGAAGCCGCGAGGCUCAGCACUCAUUCAGGAAGCCAUAAAAGUGGAGGGAAGUGUGCUGUCCCAGGUUCACACACGAUCACGUGGCUGGACGAAGGACUCCGCUAGUGAGCACGUGUCUACACGCGUGUAUCCUCUGGGUGAUCUGCUAGCCUCAGCUGAGAAAGAGUAUU